AGCAGCCGCGGUAAUUCCAGCUCCAAUAGCGUAUAUUAAAGUUGUUGCAGUUAAAAAGCUCGUAGUUGAAUUUCGGGGUUCUACCGUUGGUCGGGCUUUGUCUGUACUGGCGUGUAGAAUUUCUACCUUCUGGGGAACCAUUAUGUUAUUAAUUUAGCGUAGUGGGAAACCAGGACCUUUACCUUGAAAAAAUUAGAGUGUUCAAAGCAGGCUUAUGUCUGGAUACAUUAGCAUGGAAUAAUGAAAUAGGACGUUAAUCCUAUUUUGUUGGUUUCUAGGAUCGACGUAAUGAUUAAUAGGGAUAGUUGGGGGCAUUAGUAUUCAAUUGUCAGAGGUGAAAUUCUUGGAUGUAU
rnacentral:rRNA from 1 species